rnacentral:hammerhead_ribozyme from 1 species
AUCCGUCUGACGAGUCCCGAAUAGGAGGAAACGUUAGUCCUGGAU